AUUGAACGCUGGCGGCAGGCCUAACACAUGCAAGUCGAGCGGAUGAAGGGAGCUUGCUCCUGGAUUCAGCGGCGGACGGGUGAGUAAUGCCUAGGAAUCUGCCUGGUAGUGGGGGAUAACGUCCGGAAACGGGCGCUAAUACCGCAUACGUCCUGAGGGAGAAAGUGGGGGAUCUUCGGACCUCACGCUAUCAGAUGAGCCUAGGUCGGAUUAGCUAGUUGGUGGGGUAAAGGCCUACCAAGGCGACGAUCCGUAACUGGUCUGAGAGGAUGAUCAGUCACACUGGAAGUGAGACACGGUCCAGACUCCGACGGGAGGCAGCAGUGGGGAAUAUUGGACAAUGGGCGCAAGCCUGAUCCAGCCAUGCCGCGUGUGGGAAGAAGGUCUUCGGAUUGUACAGCGCUUUAAUUUGGGAAGAAGGACAGUAAGCUAAUACCUUGCUGUUUUGACGUUACCAACAGAAUAAGCACCGGCUAACUUCGUG
rnacentral:rRNA from 1 species